rnacentral:rRNA from 1 species
UACGGAGGGGGGCUAGCGUUGUUCGGAAUUACUGGGCGUAAAGGGCGCGCAGGCGGCUGCUCAAGUCAGGCGUGAAAGGCCUGGGCUCAACCCGGGAAUUGCGCUUGAGACUGGGCUGGCUUGAGUGCGGGAGAGGAUGGUGGAAUUCCCAGUGUAGAGGUGAAAUUCGUAGAUAUUGGGAAGAACACCGGUGGCGAAGGCGGCCAUCUGGACCGCAACUGACGCUGACGGCGCGGAAAGCAUGGGGAGCGAACGAGGA